ACAUAACCAUUAUAUAAUUCGGUUAUUUUUGCUAACUCUUUUCAAAUUCCGAACUAUCCAAAUUCCGGAAUUAUCUACACGAAUUACCUGACCCAAAGUCACAAGCCUAAAAUUAUACAACAAAACAUACUUAAUUACUUGUUUGAGCCUUUCUUCACUAAUAGACCCGUCACAAAAAAAAAAAAAACACAAAACCCAAGCCCAAUUUCCUUGUUGACUUCUUCUGUCGUUGACUACUUCACACAACAACUUCAUCUUCUCUUCGACAACUUCUUCGUCUUCCUCCUCCUUCCCUUUGCUUCUUUUUCUUCGACUAGUUCUUUUCUCUUCUUAUUGCAAGUUUAAUGGAGGACUCAACUCUC
rnacentral:lncRNA from 1 species